UACGUAGGGUGCGAGCGUUGUCCGGAAUUAUUGGGCGUAAAGAGCUCGUAGGCGGUGUGUCGCGUCGGCCGUGAAAACCUGGGGCUCAACUCUGGGCGUGCGGUCGAUACGGGCAUCACUUGAGUUCGGCAGGGGAGACUGGAAUUCCUGGUGUAGCGGUGAAAUGCGCAGAUAUCAGGAGGAACACCGGUGGCGAAGGCGGGUCUCUGGGCAGUA
rnacentral:rRNA from 1 species